AAAGGUUUUCUGGAAAGUGUAAAUAGCAAGUGGGACAAAAGUUUAUUUAAUUUUUUUUUAUUAGUGUUUGUGUUCAAAAUUUAUUGGAUGUUUGGAGAGGACAUACAGUGAAUUGCUGGUAUCUAGUUUAAGCCAUGCGUGCCAAGGACCAGAAAAUACUUGUGUAAAUGGAAGAUACAACUGCCUGCAAAUACAAAAUCCAGUGGCCAAAGUUGGGAGAUCUCUCAGUUGGAAGCCCGAUUUAUCUUUGGUUGAUGGAAGGAAAUGAAAAGGAAGGAACCUGGAAGGCAGAGGAUGAACUAAAGCAGAGGAUGAACUAAAGCAAACACCAGCGCCUCAGCGGCGUGGUUGGUAUGGUAUUAGCGUUCCACCUCGGUGGUCGCGGGUUUGAUUUUCGGCCAUUCCAUUGAGGAGUGAGAGAGGUGCAUUUCUGGUGAAAGAAGUUCACUCUCGACGUGGUUCGGAAGUCACGUAAAGCCGUUGGUCCCGUUGCUGAAUAACCACUGGUCCCAUGCAACGUAAAAGCACCAUACAACAACAACAUAAAGCAAACACCAAACACUACAAUUGGGAUGAAGACUGUUGAACUUAUUGUUUAUUAGUUAAAGAAUGAAGUUAGUCGCCUGCCUGAAAAGAAAUUAUAUAUAACAGAAGCAGUGGUUACGUAAAAUUAGGACUUCAUUAACUACAGUCAGAUCCUUUAUUCUGUUACAAGUUGUCUAGAGGAUCUGUGACUUCGUGAACUGGAAACAGCAGAGGAUAAAAGGAUUUUGAGUGCCGUGGUUGUUCCUAAUUUUGGAAGUUCUUGUAUAUGACACUAUAUACAUUGAGGCUUAAAGUACAUACCUACAGCUCUAUUUAAUUUGCAGAUAACUAUUCUUCAACCUAUUAUGUAACUCAGUUUGUCCCUGCUUGGCCUACUUGUAGUUAGUUACCUUUGCUGUAAGGAAGGUUGUGGUUUAUGUUAGUCUCUCGUUAAAUUGUCUUCCAGUACACAAUGUCAAGUGUGUUGCUAAGAUCGGAUAGACCUGAAGUUUUAAUGAACUGCUUCUUAAAUUACUAUUCAGUGCACAUUACAUUUGCCAUCCUUUCUCACUCUUAUCGACCUGAUAUGUUUGCAGCUUCGUGUCUAUGUAUUUUGUUCAUUAACCUAUAAAUGGAGCAAUGAGGAGAUAUUAGGAUUUAUGGUGAAUAAUUGCCAGUAUCUGAUCAACAGUAACUGACUGACAGAUGCUGAUUUUGCCAGUAGUAAGGAAUCCGAUAGACUUGAGAGGUGCAGGAAAGCCAACAGACCCCUUACCUCUGAAGAGAAUCUAAGGGGCCCUGCUUUCGAGUACGUAUUACCUGCUCCCCCUGCAAAACGCACUGAAUUUACCGGUAGUGACGAAUCCGAGUGGAAUAUGAAGGAAGUAGGCUUCCUGUCCACCCUCAACUCUAGUGAGGCUUAAGUGCUAACUUAAAGGGUUCCACUUACCGUAUAAUACGGGUACGAAGAACGCAAGUAAUUAAAAUAAAUUUUAAAAUCCCACAACCGAAUAAAUUUCUGAUUAAUUAUAAUUAAGGUAAACGGAAACCACUUCAGGACAUCGAUAUUUUAUUAAGCAGCAGCUUUAAGUCUACAUAACUUUUUAAAUCUUUUA